rnacentral:rRNA from 1 species
UACGGAGGGUGCGAGCGUUGUCCGGAAUCACUGGGCGUAAAGGGCGCGUAGGCGGCCUGAUAAGUAGGGGGUGAAAUCCUGCGGACUUAACCGCAGGGCUGCCUUCUAAACUGUCAGGCUUGAGCACAGUAGAGGCAGGUGGAAUUCCCGGUGUAGCGGUGGAAUGCGUAGAGAUCGGGAAGAACAUCAGUGGCGAAGGCGGCCUGCUGGGCUGUUGCUGACGCUGAGGCGCGACAGCGUGGGGAGCAAACAGG